UACGAAGGGGGCUAGCGUUGUUCGGAAUUACUGGGCGUAAAGCGCACGUAGGCGGGUCGUUAAGUCAGGGGUGAAAUCCCAGAGCUCAACUCUGGAACUGCCUUUGAUACUGGCGAUCUUGAGUUCGGAAGAGGUAAGUGGAAUUCCCAGUGUAGAGGUGAAAUGCGUAGAUAUUGGGAAGAACACCAGUGGCGAAGGCGGCUUACUGGUCCGAUACUGACGCUGAGGUGCGAAAGCGUGGGGAGCAAACAGG
rnacentral:rRNA from 1 species